rnacentral:misc_RNA from 1 species
GAAAUGCGAUAAGUAAUGUGAAUUGCAGAAUUCCGUGAAUCAUCGAAUCUUUGAACGCACAUUGCGCCCCCUGGCAUUCCGGGGGGCAUGCCUGUCCGAGCGUCAUUUCUGCCCUCAAGCACGGCUUGUGUGUUGGGUGUGGUCCCCCCGGGGACCUGCCCGAAAGGCAGCGGCGACGUCCGUCUGGUCCUCGAGCGUAUGGGGCUCUGUCACUUGCUCGGGAAGGACCUGCGGGGGUUGGUCACCACCAUAUUUCACCACGGUUGACCUCGGAUCAGGUAGGAGUUACCCGCUGAACUUAAGC